rnacentral:rRNA from 1 species
CCUACGGGAGGCAGCAGUGAGGAAUAUUGGUCAAUGGUCGGGAGACUGAACCAGCCAAGCCGCGUGAGGGAGGAAGGUACAGAGUAUCGUAAACCUCUUUUGUCAGGGAACAAAGGCGGGGACGUGUCCCCGGAUGAGUGUACCUGAAGAAAAAGCAUCGGCUAACUCCGUGCCAGCAGCCGCGGUAAUACGGAGGAUGCGAGCGUUAUCCGGAUUUAUUGGGUUUAAAGGGUGCGGAGGGGGUUUGUUAAGUCAGCGGUGAAAGCCCGGGGCUCAACCCCGGCCCGGCCGUGGAAACUGGCAGUCUCGAGUUGGAGAGAAGUAUGCGGAAUGCGCGGUGUAGCGGUGAAAUGCAUAGAUAUCGCGCAGAACUCCGAUUGCGAAGGCAGCAUGCCGGCUCCACACUGACGCUGAGGCACGAAAGCGUGGGUAUCGAACAGGAUUAGAUACCCUGGUAGUC